rnacentral:rRNA from 1 species
UUUUUAUUUAUUUAAUUUAUUUUUUAUUUAUGUUAUCAUAUUAGAAAUAACUUUUUGUAUUAGUAUAAUUUUAUUGAAUUUUAUUAUUUAUAUAUAUUUAUAGUUAAGUAUUACUGUGAAGGAUUUAUUAUUGUUAAAUUUAUAAGUAGAAUUUGUUUUUUGUACCUUUUGCAUCAGGGUUUAUUAAAAUAUCUUAUAUAUCUAUAUCUUUCCCGAAAUUAUAAGAGAUAUUCUCGUUUGUUGUUUAUUGUGAUAAAAAUAUCAAUAAAAUGAGUUAAAUAGGGGAGAUAUUCUAUUCAAUUGUAAAUAUCUGGUUCUUUGAUAAAUGAAUUUAAUUCAGAAUUGAUUAAUUUUAUUAUAUAACUUUAUUUAUUAUAAAUUCAAUCAAUUUAAUAUUAUGGGGGAUUAGCUCUUUAAUGUUUUUAUAGUUUAUAAUAAUAAUAUUUAGGUUUUGUAGGAUUAGAAAUGUUCUUCAAUUAUUUUGUUAUAAUUAUAUUUAGGGUCACAAUAAUUUAUUUUAUUAAUUUACACUUAAAUUAUUAUCAAAGUUUUCAAUUUAAUUUUUUAAUUGAAGUAAUUAUGAUAGAAUUAGUAAUUUUUUUUAAUUUACAUAUAGUAACUCGGCAAAUUUGAAUCUUACCUGUUUAUCAAAAACAUGUCCUAUAGUUUAUUUAUUUUAGGUCUAACCUGCUCAAUGAUUAUAUCAAUAAUUAAAUAGCCGCAGUAUUUUGACUGUGCAAAGGUAGCAUAAUCAUUUGUCUUUUAAUUGGGGGCUUGUAUGAAUGGUUUGAUAAGGGUUCAUCUUUCUUUAUGUAAAUUUAAUGAAUUUAAUUUUUGGGUUAAAAAGCUCAAAUCUAUUUAUGGGACGAGAAGACCCUAUAGAAAUUUAUUCUCUUGAUAAUAUUAAUUAUUAUAUUUGUGAAGUUUUUAUUUUAGGGGGAGUUUUGUUGGGGCGACAUGAAGAUUAAAAUAACUCUUUAUUUAUAUAUUAUUUAUUGAUUUAUAUAUUUAUUGAUCCUUUAUUAUGGAUUAUAAGAUUAAUUUACCUUAGGGAUAACAGCGUAAUUUCCUUGGAGAGUUCAUAUUGAUAGGGGAGUUUGCGACCUCGAUGUUGGAUUAAAAUAAGUUUUAAGUGCAGCAGCUUAAUUACUGGGUCUGUUCGACCCUUAAUUUUUUACAUGAUCUGAGUUCAGACCGGCGUGAGCCAGGUCGGUUUCUAUCUAUAAUUUAAUUGUAUCAUAUUUUAGUACGAAAGGACCAAUUAUGACAAUUAUUAUUGUUAAAAUUAUUAUGAUUGCUAUUAAU